GACGAACGCUGGCGGCGUGCUUAACACAUGCAAGUCGAACGGUGAAGCUCCAGCUUGCUGGAGUGGAUCAGUGGCGAACGGGUGAGUAACACGUGAGCAACCUGCCCCUGACUCUGGAAUAAGCGCUGGAAACGGCGUCUAAUACUGGAUACGAGAAGGGUCCGCAUGGGCACUUUCUGGAAAGUUUUUCGGUUGGGGAUGGGCUCGCGGCCUAUCAGCUUGUUGGUGAGGUAAUGGCUCACCAAGGCGACGACGGGUAGCCGGCCUGAGAGGGCGACCGGCCACACUGGGACUGAGACACGGCCCAGACUCCUACGGGAGGCAGCAGUGGGGAAUAUUGCACAAUGGGCGAAAGCCUGAUGCAGCGACGCCGCGUGAGGGAUGACGGCCUUCGGAUUGUAAACCUCUUUCAGCAGGGAAGAAGCGAAAGUGACGGUACCUGCAGAAGAAGCACCGGCUAACUACGUG
rnacentral:rRNA from 1 species